rnacentral:rRNA from 1 species
CAGCCGCCGCGGGAAUACAGAGGGUGCAAGCGUUAAUCGGAUUUACUGGGCGUAAAGGGCGCGUAGGUGGUUAUGUAAGUGAGAUGUGAAAUCCCCGGGCUCAACCUGGGAACUGCAUCUUAUACUGCGUAGCUGGAGUGCAGUAGAGGGUAGUGGAAUUUCCGGUGUAGCGGUGAAAUGCGUAGAGAUCGGAAGGAACAUCUGUGGCGAAGGCGACUAUCUGGGCCAACACUGACACUGAGGCACGAAAGCGUGGGGAGCAAACAGGAUUAGAUACCCGCGUAGUCCCUGUCUCUUAUAC